CAGGGUGGGAUUGUUGGGAUGUCCAGGCAGGGCCAGGAGUUGGACUGGAUGAUCCUUGUGGAUCUCUCUCAGCUCCACAGUUCUCUGGGAAGCCCUGCGUGCAGAGCAGGGCUCCGGCACCUCAACCAGGACGUGUAAAUCCCGGCGUUCCCGUGUCGAAAGCAACAGUUCCUGUUGUACAACCACAGCCGACGUGACUGCCUGGCCCCCAGCCUGGCUCUCCCUGUUCCCAGCUCCUGGAGACCCUUAGUUUGCAGGGCAGGAGGAGGUUGGGCAGCCAAAGUUUUCUCUGGGCUCAAGGACUCUUGGUUUCUGUCGGGCCUGGUUGGAAGUUGUCGUAUGUGGGCACUUGUGGAGGCUGAGCAGGAAGAGACCGGGCUGGUUUUAAUUCGGGUGGUUUGUUGGAGUUGUUGGAUUUAAACUACUUU